UGCCUACGGGACGCAGCAGUGGGGAAUAUUGGACAAUGGGGGGAACCCUGAUCCAGCGACGCCGCGUGAGUGAAGAAGUAUUUCGGUAUGUAAAGCUCUAUCAGCAGGGAAGAAAAUGACGGUACCUGACUAAGAAGCCCCGGCUAACUACGUGCCAGCAGCCGCGGUAAUACGUAGGGGGCAAGCGUUAUCCGGAUUUACUGGGUGUAAAGGGCGUGCAGCCGGAGAGACAAGUCAGAUGUGAAAUCCACGGGCUCAACCCGUGAACUGCAUUUGAAACUGUUUCCCUUGAGUGUCGGAGAGGG
rnacentral:rRNA from 1 species